AACCCAGUGAGUUUACACGACUCAGUAAUGCACUACAACAUGUUAUUGUAAUUUUGAUUCAUCAUUACUCUGUUAAUCACAGAGUUGAGCUAAAGUAAAUCAAUAGUAAAGUAUAAAUAAUAUAAAUAUAAGAAUAAAACCCCAAAGAGUAUGUUUAACACCCCUACUGGUUAGGAAGGAACAAGCCCCGCCUUUCCCUGCUCUGUACCGUCACGCGCUCAGACACAGAGAGAGACGGAGGUGCACGAGACCAUCGCUGAUUUUCACCGCCAAGCUUGUUGCUGGAAAAUAACUAUUAACUUGAUAAAUUGAGCAAAUAUCCAUACCGGAGAUCUGCAUUGACCUUGGAGAACUGGACCUGAUUUGUUGUGAACAUUUUGGACUUUGAAACCAUCGCGAUCUGCACGGGUGCGGAUGAAGCGGACAAGAUCCUCUCUGAGAGUUGAACAUUAGAAGUGUGCUGGCUAGGUUUUUUUGUGGGAUCGUGAGACCUGGAUUUCUUCCUGACGAGGAAGAUGGCGAGCCUUUCCCUUUGAACCGAACCACAGCCAUUCUGAGUUGGCCCAGAAGGGCAGGUUGCUCUUCUCUCACGAACAAUUGCAACAGUGCGGUAGGACAAAAUCGCACCAAUCACAGACUUUUGACCUUUUGGAUUUGACUCGACUGAACACUGACUAUUAAGCCGGCAAGACUGACAUAUCUGAGCUCAGAUAAGAUUCUGGUUGUUAUUAUUAAUGCUGUCACUGUAUUUUAUUUUUAUGUUUUCAUUUCUGUUUAUGAAGUGCUGUUAAAUUGUUGCUAAAUAGUUUAAUAUAAUUCAAAGCAACUUUA